CAGGUCCAUUGGGGUGGCCAGGCUGGGUCUGAAAGGGCCUUGCACUGGUGUGGGGUGAGCUUGGUCUGUUGGGAGAGUAUGCAGUUCGUUGAGGCCUCCCUGGCUCCGGGUUUGCGUGUCUGAGGAGUAGGUAUCAUCAGGGCCUGAGGCCUCUCCAGUGGGCACGUCUGGACUCUCCCAGGGUCGGGAACCUGUGCUCAUCACCAGCUGAAAGCACUCCAUAUCUGCUACGAUGAAGUCAAGGAUGGUGACUGUGAGCCGCCUGGGACCUGAGCUGCCUGGGACUGUGACUGAGGCACCUGGGGUGCAUCUCAGGGCCUGGGGGCUGGGCCCAUGGCUAGAUGAGCCUUGGUGAUGCUGUGGUAUUGCCUGGGCCAGGCAGAGCCAGGGGCAGCUGCGGCUGGUCCAUGUGGAGCUCCUUCAAGCCGAAGCAUCCGACACCAGUGUCUGUGGGGUGUGGGCCCGGCCCCAGGAGCGGGGCCUGGGCAGCCCCGUGUGUUGAGGAAGGAAGGCAGGGCCCCCGCUCCCCGGGCCUGACCCCACUGCUUCAGCCUCCUCCUGCCUGCCUGCAGCCUGGCCUCGAGGGCCCAUCAGAUCUUUAGUCCAGGAUUCCAGGAGUAGUCAAGGUCACCUGAGUCUUGGGGACUCUGGGCCUGGUCUCUGAAAGCAGCCAGCAAGACAGAGAUGGGAAACCCAGCAAGAUGGAGUGACCCAAGGGCACAGGUGGGUCCAGGCGCAGCAGGGAGCUGCCUGGGGGUGACACACGCUUGAGGGAGGCCACUGCACACAACCUACCCCAGCCUGAACUUGAGCACUUCCUUUCUUUUUUUUUGAGACGGAGUCUCGGUCUGUCGCCCAAACUGGAGUGCAAUGGUGUGAUCUCGGCUCACUGCAAGCUCUGCCUCCCGGGUUCAUGCCAUUGUCCUGCCUCAGCCUCCCAAGUAGCUGGGACUACAGGCGCCCGCCACCACGCCCGGCUAAUGUUUUUGUAUUUUUAGUAGAGACGGGGUUUCACCGUGUUAGCCAGGAUGGUCUUGAUCUUUUGACUUCAUGAUCCGCCUGCCUCGGCCUCCCAAAGUGCUGGGAUUAUAGGCAUGAGCCACCGUGCCCAGCCAAGCACUUCCUUGAACACAGAGGUGACCAUGAGGAGGGAGGCGUGAACCAGGAUGAUGGGGCGGCAGAUGGAGCCUGCCUCCCUGAGACCUCAGGUGACCGAGCCCUGGACUGCCUCCUCCUGCCUACGUGGCUGAGAAAUAAACUUCUUUUUCAAACCAC